rnacentral:lncRNA from 1 species
CCUAGUGGACGAGUGUUGUCUCGUGAGGGUUUUCAGGGAUGUUACCCACAAACAUCAUGAAUGAUAUGACAUGCGGUCCUAAAUUCUAAGCUAAUACCCAUGUAAUUAAUAUAUAUUUUCAAGCAUGGCAACUAUCAAAGCAAGGGGAAAUAUGAAAGUGUAGUGUGCAUAAAAUAAUAUGACUUUCUCAGAGUACUAAUACCUCCACCACAACAUGGUACCGCUUGAAUUUUAGGUGUACUACUCAAGUUCACAAGUGUUUACUACAGUUUAUUAGGGCCUGAUCCAUCAAAUUUUCGGAAUAUCUCAUGUUGUCUAAAAUUGUCAAGAAUGG